CUGAACCUGCGCCCCCUGCCUUGCAAGGUUUUCCUUUUUUGAUGUGGACCACUUUUAAAGUCUUUAUUGAAUUUGUGACAACAUUGCUCCCGUUUCAUGUUUUGUUUUUUUGGCCACGGGGCAUGUGGGAUCUUAGCUCCUGGACAAGGGAUCAAACUCGCACCCCCUGCAUUGGAUGGUGAAGCCUUAACCACUGUACCAUCAGGGAAGUCCCAGUGUUUAUGAUUCUUGUGUGGCAAAGUUCUCCAUACUGUAUAUUUGAAGGGAAUGGAAACUUCAGUAUUGGUCCAUCCGCAUCAUUGCAUCAUCCUGGAAAUCUGAGUACCACCCACUGGGAUGCAUCCAGCUUAUCGUAGGAGAUCCUAGUAAGGAACACAGAACUAAGAAGCCACCACCAACUGGAAGAGUUCAGGAAAGGUAAAAAGAUGACGUCACACGUCCUUCCACCUCCCAGAAUCCUUCUCGCUGGCAUCCAUCUUGGCUGAGCAAUCCAUGUGCCCCCAGGAAGGACCCUGAGUCAGAAUGAUCGGCCAGAGACCACCCAGAAACUAACCCCAUCACCAAGAGACUGGAGACUGAGAGCACUUCUCCUGGCUUCCUUUACCUCCCGCUCUUCGCCCGGGGCCCCUUCCCAAUAAAGUUUAUUGCUUUGUCAGC
ensembl:lncRNA